UUCGUACAAUUCUUGUUCUUCAAGAACAAUCUACGUUACGUUUCCUGUCCCUUCUCUCUUUCUCUCUCGCUCUCUCUGAGCUGCGAAAAUGAGUAGCCGAUGGAGCCGAACGAUCUACGUGGGGAAUUUGCCUGGUGACAUUCGCAUGAAAGAAGUUGAAGAUAUUUUCUACAAGUAUGGGCCCAUUGUUGACAUUGAUUUGAAGAUUCCGCCUAGGCCUCCUGGUUAUGCCUUUGUUGAGUUCGAAGAUCCCCGGGAUGCAGAGGAUGCCAUUAGGGGACGUGAUGGGUAUAAUUUCGAUGGGUGUCGGUUGCGGGUUGAACUUGCUCACGGUGGUAGAAGAGGUUCUUCGUCAGUGGAUAGGUACAGCAGUUACAGUGGUAGCCGUGCACCUCCAAGGCGGUCCGAGUAUCGUGUUCUUGUGUCAGGAUUACCACGGUCUGCUUCAUGGCAAGACCUUAAGGAUCACAUGCGCAAAGCUGGAGAUGUCUGCUUUUCUGAAGUUUUCCGUGAGCGAGGAGGCAUGAUGGGGAUAGUGGAUUACACCAACUAUGAUGAUAUGAAAUACGCGAUCAGGAAACUUGAUGACUCUGAGUUUCGGAAUGCUUUCUCUCGAGCUUAUAUACGGGUGAGAGAAUACGUCUCAAGAAGUGUGAGUCGUAGCCCAUAUUAUUCAAGAAGCAGAAGCCGGAGUCGAAGCCGUGGUCGAAGCUAUAGCAGCAGGAGCAGGAGUGCUUCUCCUGCUCGAUCUGCUUCUCCACGUUCCCGCUCCCGGUCCCGUUCACCAGCUCGCUCUGUCUCAAGAUCUGGCUCUCUGCGGCGAGCUGGGGAUUGGAUCUUAGGGACUACUACAUGGGUCAUCUAGAUGGAUUCUUGGAUUGGAUUUACAAAUGCCGGAUUAUCAUGAACUUUUAGCUUCUCUUUUCGGUCCGCUACUCAUCACGUAUCAGCUAAUAUAGGAAUCGGAUCACUACUGUUUGGUUUUCAUUCGUUUCUACGAAAUUCUUGGUUUUUUAAUUGUAUUCUAAGUGGUCCAGAGUUGGUGAGAAGUGGUCGGUUGGCCAUGUGAGAAACCGUUGUCACGAGGUGGUUUCCUUUUUUUUUUUAUUUGCAGGUCCAUGUCGAGGUCGAGAUCCAGAUCAAAAUCUCCAGUUUCGCCUAAUAUCGAAAAGGAUCGAAGCCCAUCGAAGAGUCGCAGCUUGUCUCGAUCCCGAUCCCGAUCCCGAUCUCCCUCUGCGAAAUCAGAUUGAGGGACGGAUGCGGCAUCAUUCCGCGUCGGCAGACACUCAGUCAGUCUCUCUUGCUCCUCGGGACAUUCCGGUAUUGAGUCUUACCGUUAUGAUUUUAGAUUUUGAACUGAGUUUUUGUGGUCUUUUGUGUCGUGUCUUGUCUGGUCGGAGGCUCUAGUGGUGAGUUUUAGUAGACUCUUGUUGGCAUUGACGGAUGUUAUGGAGUUGCUUUUCACUUUUUGUAUUGACGCUAGGAUUUAUAAUUUCAUAUGUAUGCAUGCAUGCGUAUUACACUUAUGUUCAUACCAUCUCGACCGUGAGUAUCCAAACUUAAAAACUA